GAUGAACGCUGGCGGCGUGCCUAAUACAUGCAAGUCGAGCGAACAGACGAGGAGCUUGCUCCUCUGACGUUAGCGGCGGACGGGUGAGUAACACGUGGAUAACCUACCUAUAAGACUGGGAUAACUUCGGGAAACCGGAGCUAAUACCGGAUAAUAUAUUGAACCGCAUGGUUCAAUAGUGAAAGACGGUUUUGCUGCCACUUAUAGAUGGAUCCGCGCCGCAUUAGCUAGUUGGUAAGGUAACGGCUUACCAAGGCAACGAUGCGUAGCCGACCUGAGAGGGUGAUCGGCCACACUGGAACUGAGACACGGUCCAGACUCCUACGGGAGGCAGCAGUAGGGAAUCUUCCGCAAUGGGCGAAAGCCUGACGGAGCAACGCCGCGUGAGUGAUGAAGGUCUUCGGAUCGUAAACCUCUGUUAUUAGGGAAGAACAAAUGUGUAAGUAACUAUGCACGUCUUGACGGUACCUAAUCAGAAAGCCACGGCUAACUACGUG
rnacentral:rRNA from 1 species